rnacentral:sRNA from 1 species
AAUUAGCCCUGAUGGUCCCGAAGCUUCGGGAGAAAUCCUUUUGCUUUUUUCUUUAAAAAGCAAAAGAUUACAGUGAACAGCAGGUCCCGAA